rnacentral:snoRNA from 1 species
AAGCUGCAGCAUCAUACCAUGUUGCUUGUGCAUAACUGGGGCCACCUGCCCAUUGAGGGUGGCUCUUUUAACCUCCAGCUACAGUG